rnacentral:ncRNA from 1 species
AUUAUCCGUGAAGAUGCGGAUUUUCUAUAGUUAGACGGAAAGACCCCGUGAACCCUUUACUACAUCUUUAUAUUGUUAUUUUAUCUAAUACGUGUAGCAUAAGUGGUAAUCUUUUAGAUCUUUACGCUAGUAAAUUGUUUAGAUAUCCUUGAAAUACCACUCUUAUUAUAAUAAAUAACUAAUAUUUUUUUAAAUAGACAGUGUAUGGUUGGUAGUUUGACUGGGGCGGUCACCUCCUAAAGAGUAACGGAGGUGUACAAAGGUAAGCUCAAAUUGGAUAAUAGUAUCAAUUGUAGAGCAUAAUGGUAAAAGCUUGCUUGACUGUAAGAUAACAUCUCAAACAGGGACGAAAGUCGGUCAUAGUGAUCCGAUAAUUCUUUGGGGAAAGAUUAUCGCUCAACGGGAUAAAAGGUUCUCCGGGGAUAACAGGCUGAUGCCUCCUAAGAGCUCCUAUCGACGGAGUCGUUUGGCACCUCGAUGUCGACUCAUCACAUCCUGGAGCUGAAGAAGGUUCCAAGGGUUCGGCUGUUCCCCCGAUUAAAGUGGUACGUGAGUUGCGUUUAGAACGUCGUGAGACAGUUUGGUUCCUAUCUUCUAUAGAUGUUUUGAAAAAUGAAAGAAUCUAACUCUAGUACGAGAGGACCGAGAAGGGUAAAUCUCUGGUGUAUCGGUUGUUGAAAAGCAUCGCCGAGUAGCUAAAUUUAUUUUGGAUAAUUACUGAAAGCAUCUAAGUAAGAAACCAUUCUUAAAAAUUUUUUCAUAUAAAAACUGUAAAAGACGAUUACAUUGAUAGGUUUUAAGUAUAAGUAUUGUAAAAUAUUAAGCUUAAAAAUACUAAACGUUUUA